AGCUGGGACUACAGGUGCCCACCACCAUGCCCAGGGCAGACACACAUCCCCACAGGCUUCCAGACACCCUUCAGCAGGAGGCGCCCCUCACAGUGAGAAUGAGACCAACAACCACGGGAGGAAGAAACUGACUGCCCAUGGCCUGAGCUACACACUGAGGAGGGUGGACAUGGGGGCUCCACGGUACCAGGAGGCAGCUGCUGGACCCCACCCCAGAAAGAACACCCAACUGCAGGGAAGGAACAACACCGGCCGCCUGGACUGGUUCUGACUCAUUUCAGCGAGGAGGAAGUUGGAGGCUUUGAACCCUUUCCUUCCGAAUGUCAGACACGUGUACGGGCUCCUGAGAACGCAUGCGUGUUUCCUAAGAAGCCGCUCUUCUGUGGACUAGAGGCCUGCGGGCUCCCGAGCUGCAGGGGACCCUAUCUCUCAGGAGGUGGGAGACCCUGGGUGUCGCUCACACAGGGUGAAGAUCACAGCAUUGGGGCCCGCGUCAAAGGUAUACGCCACCUGGAACCCAUGGCAGUGACCCUGCUGUAUGCGUGGUGCCUGGCCUUGUACCCACAACCCUCUGGCCUGCCUGGGGGCCCUGAGGUCUCCAAGAGCUCAGUCUGGGCCCUCAGGGCCACACUGGAGCAGAGCUGUGGCCCCAAGUGCCUGUUACUUAACACCUCUGCCUGUGAACCCAGGGAAAAGGCAGUGGGGCGGUGAGCCAAGCAAGCCAAAAAACGAAACCCAAGAACCCACAUUGUCGGUGAGCUUGGCACACAGCAGGGCAGAGCUUUCAGACAGAUUCCUGUGCACGCCGGUCUCAGGACCGCCUCCACAGCAGUACACGGCUAGACACGUGCUACAGCCCUCCCAGCCUGAGUCACCUUGGUGUCCCCGUGGUGGGCGUUGAAGCGGUGCACCAGGUGGAUGAUACGCCAGGAGACGUGGUUGAGGUAGGAGAUGGGCGGAAAUGUGUCAAGGCAGGUGGCGUGGAACUGGUUGCUGUCCUGCA